rnacentral:rRNA from 1 species
GCGUGGUGGACGGCUCGUU